AGUUUUUGAGUGGUGGGGUUUCUUAUUGUUGUUCUAUCUACUUGAUAGAGCUCAAAAAUCCAGUUUGAUUGAGCUUUUUUUGGGUGUUUUUGGUGGGUUAUUGAGUAAUUGCUGGUGGAGUUUAUACAUUGUGAUUCUUCUGAAAAAGUGAUCGAAAAUGGUGGAUCUAAGUGAUAAACAGGGUUUAGGAUCUGAAGAAAUGAGUAGCGGAGUUACUUCACCGGAAACUAGCCAAAGUAACGUCAAGACUUGUGCUGAUUGCGGUACCACAAAAACACCUCUUUGGAGAGGUGGACCUGCUGGUCCCAAGUCACUAUGUAAUGCUUGUGGGAUCAAAAGUAGGAAAAAGAGGAGAGCCUUUCUCGGGUUGAACAACGAAGAGAAGAAAUCAAAGAAAUCAGUGGUGGUUGGACAUAAAAACAUUGAAGUACAGCACCAUUUGAACCAAAGUUGUAGCAGCAGCAGCAACAGUGAUGAUAGUAAAAGCAGUAACUUUGUGAAGAACAUUGUUUCUUCUUCGUUGAAAAAGAAAUUACUUCCUUUUGGUAAAGAAGAAGUCGUUAUGCAGAGACCAAGAUCAAGAUCUACUCAGAAGAGAAAGCUUGGAGAAGUAGAACAAGCAGCAUUCCUGUUGAUGGCUCUUUCUUGUGGCUCUUUUUAUACUCAUGGAAGGAUGAAAAUCGACAAGGAAAGAAAGAACGAGAAAUGUUG
rnacentral:misc_RNA from 1 species